UUGGGGAUUAGUGGCGAACGGGUGAGUAACACGUGAGUAACCUGCCCUUGACUCUGGGAUAAGCGUUGGAAACGACGUCUAAUACCGGAUACGAGCUUCCACCGCAUGGUGAGUUGCUGGAAAGAAUUUUGGUCAAGGAUGGACUCGCGGCCUAUCAGCUUGUUGGUGAGGUAACGGCUCACCAAGGCGACGACGGGUAGCCGGCCUGAGAGGGUGACCGGCCACACUGGGACUGAGACACGGCCCAGACUCCUACGGGAGGCAGCAGUGGGGAAUAUUGCACAAUGGGCGAAAGCCUGAUGCAGCAACGCCGCGUGAGGGACGACGGCCUUCGGGUUGUAAACCUCUUUUAGCAGGGAAGAAGCGAAAGUGACGGUACCUGCAGAAAAAGCACCGGCUAACUACGUGCC
rnacentral:rRNA from 1 species